rnacentral:RNase_P_RNA from 1 species
GUAGUAGACCGGUCUGUCGCUUUUCCUUGCAUAUGCUUGGGAAAGAGGAAAGUCCGGGCAACACAGAGCACCAUACUUUCUAACGGGAAGCUGUCGGCAACGGCAGACGAGCAUAACAGAAAACAACCGCCUGACCAAUGUGUCAGGUAAGGGUGAAAAGGCAGGGUAAGAGCCUACCGGGAUAUCUGGCAACAGAUAUUGCCGUAUGCGUUAUGGGUUGCAAUAUCAUGUAUACCGACGUUAUCAGGGUUGCUCGCCCGAUGUCGGGGGGUAGAUAGCUCAGAAGGAUUCUUUUUUUGAGAAUCCGGCCCUUUUUCUAUGAGGAUUUUAGGGCAGAUGGAUGGCAGACGGGAUGUUUUUCAUCUUACAGAACCCGGCUUAUAGGUCUGCUACGUUU